CUCUGCCUUGUCACUCUUUCUCUGGCUUAUCACUGGGGAAACCAGAGAGGCCAGGACGUCAGGCCCGGAAUGGGAAGCCAGAAGGGCCAAGGACGCGCGGAAGGUAGCUCAGCGGAGAACACCAGGCCAGGGCGGAGGUGCCGCAGCGCCACGUCCAGGGGGUAAGGACCCCAAGGAUUAUUUGUUUUGAUGCUCAAUAUGUCACAGAUUUGGCUAGUGGAAGAGACUUCAAGCUGUCCCUUUGGACUUGUCUUCGUUAUUCUUUGAGCAAACACUUCCUUGCUUUCUGACACAAGAUGCUCCAGGCUCAUCUCGCAUCUUUCUUGUCUAGACCUGGGAGCUAGCAGCUUCUCUGAAGAGCCAAGCAAUCUUCAAACUUUAUUUUCUUAUUGUGUCUCCCUAAGUUGUCCACGUGGGACUUGAAAUUGUGACCC